AUCCCGGGCCUGCUGGUGAGGAGAUUGCGACGGCAGAGCACAAAGACAUCAAAUAUCCCAAAAGGCUAUUUUGCGGUCUAUGCUGGAGAGAGCCAGAAGAAACGAUUUGUUGUUCCAAUAUCAUAUUUGAACCAGCCUUUGUUUCAGGAUUUGCUGAGUCAAGCUGAAGAAGAAUUUGGAUACCAUCAUUCAAUGGGUGGUAUCACAAUUCCAUGCAGUGAAGAUACUUUCAUUGAUCUCACUUCCGACUUCAGUGUGUAAAAUAUAGAAACCAUGGGUUUCCGGCUGCCUAAAAUUUCAAGCCCCAAGAGGAGUCUUAUUCGAUCACUAUCUAAUGGAAACCAGACAGCUUCAAAGACCUUAGAAAUCCCAAAAGGUUAUUUUGCAGUCUAUGUUGGGGAGAGCCAGAAGAAGAGAUUUGUGAUUCCGAUAUCAUACUUGAACCAACCUUCAUUCAUGGAUUUGCUGAGUCAAGCUGAAGAAGAAUAUGGAUAUGAUCAUCCCAUGGGAGGUAUCACAAUCCCCUGCAGUGAAGACACAUUCCUAGAUCUCACUUCAAGCUUUAGUGUGUGACUGAAUAAUGAGAUGAAAGUAUGAUCCAACUUCACAUUCAAAUAGCAUCCAAAUUCCAGACAUGCUGCUGAGUCAAGAUGAAGAAGAAGCGAGAGUCACAAUUGAUUAUCAUCUGAAUCGAAUGAGCGCACUACUGAGGGGAAGCUUCAGUGACUUUGAAGCUGCAAUGGAGACGAACUGAAAGAUACAAGAGCUAUAAGCAGUCAAAUGGCGAUAUUGUAUGGAUUUUGUACAAUAAUUGCUGCAAGAAUCAUGGUUCCAGCUUUGGAAACAAGAGUGAAUUAUGUAUUCAACCUACUUAAAUUAAGGUCUCCCAGGAUAAAAUACUGGGAACAAAUAAUAUAGUCAAAUUCUUAUCAA